GACGGACGCUGGCGGCGUGCUUAACACAUGCAAGUCGAACGAAGAGCGAUGGAAGCUUGCUUCUAUCAAUCUUAGUGGCGAACGGGUGAGUAACGCGUAAUCAACCUGCCCUUCAGAGGGGGACAACAGUUGGAAACGACUGCUAAUACCGCAUACGAUCUAAUCUCGGCAUCGAGGAUAGAUGAAAGGUGGCCUCUACAUGUAAGCUAUCACUGAAGGAGGGGAUUGCGUCUGAUUAGCUAGUUGGAGGGGUAACGGCCCACCAAGGCGAUGAUCAGUAGCCGGUCUGAGAGGAUGAACGGCCACAUUGGGACUGAGACACGGCCCAGACUCCUACGGGAGGCAGCAGUGGGGAAUCUUCCGCAAUGGACGAAAGUCUGACGGAGCAACGCCGCGUGAGUGAUGACGGCCUUCGGGUUGUAAAGCUCUGUUAAUCGGGACGAAAGGCCUUCUUGCGAAUAGUGAGAAGGAUUGACGGUACCGGAAUAGAAAGCCACGGCUAACUACGUG
rnacentral:rRNA from 1 species